rnacentral:rRNA from 1 species
UACGAAGGGGGCUAGCGUUGUUCGGAAUUACUGGGCGUAAAGCGCACGUAGGCGGGCUGACAAGUCAGGGGUGAAAUCCCGGGGCUCAACCUCAGAACUGCCUUUGAUACUGUCAGUCUAGAGUCCGGAAGAGGUGGGUGGAAUUCCUAGUGUAGAGGUGAAAUUCGCAGAUAUUAGGAAGAACACCGGUGGCGAAGGCGGCCCACUGGUCCGGAACUGACGCUGAGGUGCGAAAGCGUGGGGAGCAAACAGG